CAUGCAAGUCGAGGGGCAGCAUCGCGAUAGCUUGCUAUUGCGGAUGGCGACCGGCGCACGGGUGAGUAACGCGUAUCCAACCUUCCCGCAACUGGGGAAUAACCUUGCGAAAGUAAGACUAAUACCCCAUGGUCUCCACGGAUGGCAUCUGAAGUGGAGUAAAGGUUCCGGCCGGUUGCGGAUGGGGAUGCGUCCGAUUAGCUUGACGGCGGGGUAACGGCCCACCGUGGCAUCGAUCGGUAGGGGUUCUGAGAGGAAGGUCCCCCACAUUGGAACUGAGACACGGUCCAAACUCCUACGGGAGGCAGCAGUGAGGAAUAUUGGUCAAUGGGCGGAAGCCUGAACCAGCCAAGUAGCGUGAAGGACGACUGCCCUAUGGGUUGUAAACUUCUUUUAUGCGGGGAUAAAGUUCGCCACGUGUGGCGUUUUGCAGGUACCGCAUGAAUAAGGACCGGCUAAUUCCGUGCCAGCAGCCGCGGUAAUACGGAAGGUCCAGGCGUUAUCCGGAUUCAUUGGGUUUAAAGGGAGCGUAGGCCGCCUUUUAAGCGUGUUGUGAAAUGUAGGGGCUCAACCCCUGCACUGCAGCGCGAACUGGAGGGCUUGAGUACACACAAAGUAGGCGGAAUUCAUGG
rnacentral:rRNA from 1 species